rnacentral:rRNA from 1 species
AUGGCUGUCGUCAGCUCGUGCCGUGAGGUGUCAGGUUAAGUCCUAUAACGAGCGCAACCCCUGUGGUUAGUUACCAGCAUGUAAAGAUGGGGACUCUAGCCAGACUGCCGGUGCAAACCGUGAGGAAGGUGGGGAUGACGUCAAAUCAUCACGGCCCUUACGCCUUGGGCUACACACGUGCUACAAUGGUAUAUACAAUGAGCAGCCAUCUGGCGACAGAGCGCUAAUCUAUAAAGUAUAUCACAGUUCGAAUCGGAGUCUGCAACUCGACUCUGUGAAGCUGGAAUCGCUAGUAAUCGCACAUCAGCCAUGGUGCGGUGAAUACGUUCCCGGGCCUUGUACACACCGCCCGU